UACGGAGGGUGCGAGCGUUGUCCGGAAUCACUGGGCGUAAAGGGCGCGUAGGUGGCGCGACAAGUCAACGGUGAAAGCCCGGGGCUCAACCCCGGGUCGGCCGUCGAUACUGUUGGGCUUGAGCACUGUAGAGGCAGGUGGAAUUCCGGGUGUAGCGGUGGAAUGCGUAGAGAUCCGGAAGAACACCGGUGGCGAAGGCGGGUUGCUGGGCCGACACUGACGCUGAGGAGCGAAAGCGUGGGGAGCGAACAGG
rnacentral:rRNA from 1 species